AGCAUCACAGCUCAAAAUUUUCCCCAUAUUCACCUACAUAGGUCUCCCUCAGACACAUGGAUUGGAAAACCUGGGAAACAUUCAGUAGAACAGGUAAUCCUGCUUAGUCAAAGAGGCUAACUGACACUUGGCUUCAUGAAGAGGGGAACUGAAGCAGCCCAGCAGGGGUCUCCCUCCCAAGCUAGAUCUUAGCCAUUGAGAUAGGUGUGGGAAAGGAUAAGGAGGGACAAGAGCAAGGGUCUCCUUACCAACACAGGCCUGAUUUGCAGAGGGUGCCAUGGUGGCCUUCAUCUGCACAGCAGGGGGUCCUCCUCCAAAGGCAGCUCAGCACACAUGGUCUCUCUCAGAACAUAUGGACUGGAAAACCUGGUAAACAAUCAAGAGAUCAGGUCUCCCUCAGAUAAAUGGAUUGGAAAACCUGGUAAACAUUUAAGACAUCAGAGGGUGCAGUAGCUGCCUUCAUAUGCACAGGAGGGGGUCUGCCUCCAAAGAAACCUCCAGGUCAUGGGUGGUCCUUUCUGGGAGCCCAAAGCAGCCCCCCAAAGCCCAGCCUA
rnacentral:lncRNA from 1 species